rfam:Oikopleura dioica, whole genome shotgun assembly, reference scaffold set, scaffold scaffold_242
UCUGGUGGCAGUGAAGCCGCGGUCCGACCCGAUCCCUUCCCGAACUCGGCCGUCAAACGCGGCGUUGCCGAUGGUAGUGCCUGUAUAGCUUGCGCGAGAGUAGGUAGCCGCCAGAU